UUCGGGGAGCUGUAAGUGAGCUUUGAUCCGGAGAUUUCCGAAUGGGGAAACCCACUGUUCGUAAUGGAACAGUAUCUUUAUCUGAAUACAUAGGAUAUUGAAGGCAGACCCGGGGAACUGAAACAUCUAAGUACCCGGAGGAAGAGAAAGCAAAUGCGAUUUCCUGAGUAGCGGCGAGCGAAACGGAAUUAGCCCAAACCAAGAGGCUUGCCUCUUGGGGUUGUAGGACACUCUAUACGGAGUUACAAAGGAACGAAGUAAAUGAAGCGACCUGGAAAGGUCCGUCGAAGAAGGUAACAACCCUGUAGUUGAAACUUCGUUCCCUCUUGAGUGGAUCCUGAGUACGGCGGAACACGUGAAAUUCCGUCGCUGGGAGGACCAUCUCCCAAGGCUAAAUACUACCUAGUGACCGAUAGUGAACCAGUACCGUGAGGGAAAGGUGAAAAGCACCCCGGAAGGGGAGUGAAAGAGAUCCUGAAACCGUGUGCCUACAAGUAGUCAGAGCCCGUUAACGGGUGAUGGCGUGCCUUUUGUAGAAUGAACCGGCGAGUUACGAUCCCAUGCAAGGUUAAGCUGAUAAGGCGGAGCCGUAGCGAAAGCGAGUCUGAAUAGGGCGUUUAGUAUGUGGUUGUAGACCCGAAACCAGGUGAUCUACCCAUGUCCAGGGUGAAGUUCAGGUAACAC
rnacentral:rRNA from 1 species